rnacentral:lncRNA from 10 species
CGAGCCAGGAAGGAGCCUCUGCAGAAACGGAACCAGCGGGAACCUUGACCUGAGACUUGCAGCCUCCAGAACUGGGAGAAAAUAGAUUUCUGUUGUUUCAAGCCCCCGAGCCUGUGGUAUUUUGUCCCAGCAGCCUGAGCAGGCUGAAAUGGUCCCAAGUUCUUGUCCCACAUCCAGAAGAAUAAGGUUAUGCAGACAACCAGAGAGUGAGCAGGGCAGAAAAAAACUUCUAUUGCAUGAUGGAACAGCUCCCAGCGUUGAGGGGACCUGAGAGUGGGCAGCCACUACCUGAAGAGGGACCACGCUUCGCUUAUCCAGUCGUCAUUCACGGACCCUGCAUUGUCUCUGCCUCUUGGGCUUUGUGAAGAAUGCUGCUGUGAACAGGGGAGUGCCCCUGCCUGUUUGGGUCCCUGCUUUCCAUUUCUUUGGGAGGUACGUGGAGAGGAGAUUGCGGGGUCAUGUGGUCAUUCUGUUUGGCUCUUGGAGGAGCAGGCAUCCUGUUUUCCACAGCAGCUCUGCCAUCAAAUGGCACUUUCUUAGUGACACCUCCCGUAUCUCUCCCCAUAAAUGUAUCUCUCCCCAUAAACAUUGCAACUCCUGGCUCACCUUCCUUCUCCUGUAACUUGUCACUGUGGAACUCUCAGGUGUGCCUGAGCCGACUCGUAGCAGCCCAGGAGGGCCAGCAGUGAGGCCCCUUCCCCACUCCGUGGUCAGUGCCUUCACACAGGGAGUUUGGAGGUGGCUGUAGUGGGAGGACUCACACCGCAGAAAUCAGCCAGUGCUGCAGGUCAGGGGCCGCCAUCCCCCAGAGCUGCUGUGAGACAUCGACCAGCACAUCAGUGGGCUGCUUUCCGCUGGUUUUAUUUGCAUGUAUUUUGGUCUGUUUCCCUACCUAGAAAAUAAACUCCCUGUGGCAGAAGUUUUAUCUCUCUGCUCCCUUCUUGGUUCCCAGCUCUUGGAACAGAACCAGACUUCUGGCCGGGGCUCAGUCAGUGCUUGCAAGAUGUUUGUUGGCACCAGGCUGUGCCAGGAGAGCAUCAUUAUAAACUGCUGAUCUACUGUUUCUUUGUCAAACGGGAGGAGAUAACAUGAGGGUCAUGAGAAAUGUUUGCAGACGGAGUGAAUGCCUUGAAAGUGCUGCGACCAGGUGCUGACACCCGGAGGUCUGGCUGCUCAAAGUGUUAGCUGACACGGAAGACACACGGACUUUCCCUCCAUUCCCCAAAACUCCCCUUCCCUGACUCGUCAGCUGCAUAAAAACCCUCUCCUUAUCUCUUUGUCAAGGGGAUUUGAGAAAUCUUGCUGUCUUGUCUUCUUGCUUUGGCCAAAUGGAAUAAACCUUUCUCUGUCUCCAGACACCUAUGUCGCAGUGUUCGGCCUCAGCUAUACGGCAGGUACAUGAACCUGGUAUUUGGGCUUCUACAACAAUUGUACUUAUAGCACAAAUAAAGUACAAAGUGUUAGGGAAGACCAAAGACCAUAGGUAGAAAACUUGGAUACAACUUCCAAAUAAACACUCUUCAAAACAUUUA